rnacentral:rRNA from 1 species
UACAGGGGGUGCAAACGUUGCUCGGAAUUAUUGGGCGUAAAGAGCUCGUAGGCGGCCUGUUACGUCUGCUGUGAAAGCCCGGGGCUCAACUCCGGGUCUGCAGUGGAUACGGGCAGGCUAGAGUCCGGCAGGGGAGACUGGAAUUCCUGGUGUAGCGGUGAAAUGCGCAGAUAUCAGGAGGAACACCGGUGGCGAAGGCGGGUCUCUGGGCCGAUACUGACGCUGAGGAGCGAAAGCGUGGGGAGCGAACAGG